UGAACACAGCUGGUGGUAUCCUAU
rnacentral:miRNA from 1 species